rnacentral:rRNA from 1 species
UGGCUCAGGAUGAACGCUAGCGACAGGCCUAACACAUGCAAGUCGAGGGGCAUCGGGGCGAGGAGCAAUCCUUGCCGCCGGCGACCGGCGCACGGGUGAGUAACGCGUAUGCGACCUGCCCGUUGCAGGGGGAUAAUCGGGAGAAAUCCCGUCUAAUACCGCGUAACGCCGCGGGGCUGCAUGGCCCUGCGGCCAAAGGGAGCGAUUCCGGCAACGGAUGGGCAUGCGUGACAUUAGCUAGUUGGCGGGGCAACGGCCCACCAAGGCGACGAUGUCUAGGGGUUCUGAGAGGAAGGUCCCCCACACUGGUACUGAGACACGGACCAGACUCCUACGGGAGGCAGCAGUGAGGAAUAUUGGUCAAUGGGCGCGAGCCUGAACCAGCCAAGUCGCGUGAGGGAUGACGGCCCUACGGGUUGUAAACCUCUUUUGUCGGGGAGCAAAUUCCGCCACGUGUGGCGGAGUCGAGAGUACCCGAAGAAAAAGCAUCGGCUAACUCCGUGCCAGCAGCCGCGGUAAUACGGAGGAUGCGAGCGUUAUCCGGAUUUAUUGGGUUUAAAGGGUGCGUAGGCGGACUGUCAAGUCAGCGGUAAAAUACGGGGGCUCAACCUCCGCCCGCCGUUGAAACUGACGGUCUUGAGUGGGCGAGAAGUAUGCGGAAUGCGUGGUGUAGCGGUGAAAUGCAUAGAUAUCACGCAGAACUCCGAUUGCGAAGGCAGCAUACCGGCGCCCAACUGACGCUGAAGCACGAAAGCGUGGGUAUCGAACAGGAUUAGAUACCCUGGUAGUCCACGCAGUAAACGAUGAAUACUAGCUGUCCGGGGCGAAUGAGCCCUGGGUGGCACAGCGAAAGCGUUAAGUAUUCCACCUGGGGAGUACGCCGGCAACGGUGAAACUCAAAGGAAUUGACGGGGGCCCGCACAAGCGGAGGAACAUGUGGUUUAAUUCGAUGAUGCGCGAGGAACCUUACCCGGGCUCAGACGACACAGGAACGUACCUGAAAGGGUUCGGCUCUACGGAGCCUGUGUCGAGGUGCUGCAUGGUUGUCGUCAGCUCGUGCCGUGAGGUGUCGGCUUAAGUGCCAUAACGAGCGCAACCCCCAUCGACAGUUGCUAACAGGUUAGGCUAAGGACUCUGUCGAGACUGCCGGCGCAAGCUGCGAGGAAGGCGGGGAUGACGUCAAAUCAGCACGGCCCUUACGUCCGGGGCGACACACGUGUUACAAUGGCAGGUACAGCGGGAAGCCACCUGGCGACAGGAAGCGGAACCCGAAAGCCUGUCUCAGUUCGGAUUGGAGUCUGCAACCCGACUCCAUGAAGCUGGAUUCGCUAGUAAUCGCGCAUCAGCCACGGCGCGGUGAAUACGUUCCCGGGCCUUGUACACACCGCCCGUCAAGCCAUGGAAGCCGGGGGUGCCUGAAGUGCGCUGCCGCGAGGAGCGCCCUAGGGUAAAACUCGGUGACUGGGGCUAAGUCGUAACAAGGU